rfam:Trichobilharzia regenti genome assembly, scaffold: TRE_scaffold0000252
AUCCAGAUGACGAGUCCCAAAUAGGACGGAAUGCUCAUCCUGGAU